rnacentral:rRNA from 1 species
UGCCAUCGGAUGUGCCCAGAUGGGAUUAGCUUGUUGGUGGGGUAACGGCUCACCAAGGCGACGAUCCCUAGCUGGUCUGAGAGGAUGACCAGCCACACUGGAACUGAGACACGGUCCAGACUCCUACGGGAGGCAGCAGUGGGGAAUAUUGCACAAUGGGCGCAAGCCUGAUGCAGCCAUGCCGCGUGUAUGAAGAAGGCCUUCGGGUUGUAAAGUACUUUCAGCGGGGAGGAAGGGAGUAAAGUUAAUACCUUUGCUCAUUGACGUUACCCGCAGAAGAAGCACCGGCUAACUCCGUGCCAGCAGCCGCGGUAAUACGGAGGGUGCAAGCGUUAAUCGGAAUUACUGGGCGUAAAGCGCACGCAGGCGGUUUGUUAAGUCAGAUGUGAAAUCCCCGGGCUCAACCUGGGAACUGCAUCUGAUACUGGCAAGCUUGAGUCUCGUAGAGGGGGGUAGAAUUCCAGGUGUAGCGGUGAAAUGCGUAGAGAUCUGGAGGAAUACCGGUGGCGAAGGCGGCCCCCUGGACGAAGACUGA